GAUGAACGCUGGCGGCGUGCCUAAUACAUGCAAGUCGAGCGAACGGACGAGAAGCUUGCUUCUCUGAUGUUAGCGGCGGACGGGUGAGUAACACGUGGAUAACCUACCUAUAAGACUGGGAUAACUUCGGGAAACCGGAGCUAAUACCGGAUAAUAUUUUGAACCGCAUGGUUCAAAAGUGAAAGACGGUCUUGCUGUCACUUAUAGAUGGAUCCGCGCUGCAUUAGCUAGUUGGUAAGGUAACGGCUUACCAAGGCAACGAUGCAUAGCCGACCUGAGAGGGUGAUCGGCCACACGGGAACUGAGACACGGUCGAGACUCCUACGGGAGGCAGCAGUAGGGAAUCUUCCGCGAUGGGCGAAAGCCUGAUGGAGCAACGCCGCGUGAGUGAUGAAGGUCUUCGGAUCGUAAAGCUCUGUUAGUAUGGAAGAACAAAUGUGUAUGUAACUGUGCACAUCUUGACGGUACCUAAUGAGAAAGCCACGGCUAACUACGUG
rnacentral:rRNA from 1 species